rnacentral:rRNA from 1 species
AGAGUUUGAUCCUGGCUCAGGAUGAACGCUGGCGGCGCGCCUAACACAUGCAAGUCGAACGAGCGAGAGAGAGCUUGCUUUCUUGAGCGAGUGGCGAACGGGUGAGUAACGCGUGAGGAACCUGCCUCAAAGAGGGGGACAACAGUUGGAAACGACUGCUAAUACCGCAUAAGCCCACGGCUCGGCAUCGAGCAGAGGGAAAAGGAGCAAUCCGCUUUGAGAUGGCCUCGCGUCCGAUUAGCUGGUUGGUGAGGUAACGGCCCACCAAGGCGACGAUCGGUAGCCGGACUGAGAGGUUGAACGGCCACAUUGGGACUGAGACACGGCCCAGACUCCUACGGGAGGCAGCAGUGGGGAAUAUUGCACAAUGGGGGAAACCCUGAUGCAGCGACGCCGCGUGGAGGAAGAAGGUCUUCGGAUUGUAAACUCCUGUUGUUGAGGAAGAUAAUGACGGUACUCAACAAGGAAGUGACGGCUAACUACGUGCCAGCAGCCGCGGUAAAACGUAGGUCACAAGCGUUGUCCGGAAUUACCGGGUGUAAAGGGAGCGCAGGCGGGAAGACAAGUUGGAAGUGAAAUCUAUGGGCUCAACCCAUAAACUGCUUUCAAAACUGUUUUUCUUGAGUAGUGCAGAGGUAGGCGGAAUUCCCGGUGUAGCGGUGGAAUGCGUAGAUAUCGGGAGGAACACCAGUGGCGAAGGCGGCCUACUGGGCACCAACUGACGCUGAGGCUCGAAAGUGUGGGUAGCAAACAGGAUUAGAUACCCUGGUAGUCCACACCGUAAACGAUGAUUACUAGGUGUUGGAGGAUUGACCCCUUCAGUGCCGCAGUUAACACAAUAAGUAAUCCACCUGGGGAGUACGACCGCAAGGUUGAAACUCAAAGGAAUUGACGGGGGCCCGCACAAGCAGUGGAGUAUGUGGUUUAAUUCGACGCAACGCGAAGAACCUUACCAAGUCUUGACGUCCUGCGACGCACAUAGAAAUAUGUGUUUCCUUCGGGACGCAGAGACAGGUGGUGCAUGGUUGUCGUCAGCUCGUGUCGUGAGAUGUUGGGUUAAGUCCCGCAACGAGCGCAACCCUUAUGGUCAGUUACUACGCAAGAGGACUCUGGCCAGACUGCCGUUGACAAAACGGAGGAAGGUGGGGAUGACGUCAAAUCAUCAUGCCCUUUAUGACUUGGGCUACACACGUACUACAAUGGCGUUAAACAAAGAGAAGCAAGACCGCGAGGUGGAGCAAAACUCAGAAACAACGUCCCAGUUCGGACUGCAGGCUGCAACUCGCCUGCACGAAGUCGGAAUUGCUAGUAAUCGCAGAUCAGCAUGCUGCGGUGAAUACGUUCCCGGGCCUUG